GCUGAUGACAGCUCGACAGGGGCCGCACCAGUGCUGGUACACGUCGACUACUACGGUGCAGACAAAAAGAGGAGGAGGAGCGUUGCACUUCCAACGGUGACCACUCGGGGUCGCCAGAGUACAACAAAUUAAAGUUGGAACGGCUGACAGGUCCGUUCACGAUCCCCGACUAAUUUUGUUACGCACUUAGAAGACUCAAAUGGAAUAAAGUUAACGAUUCCUACCCGUUAAUCCCUUUGUUGCAAGAACCUCCUCCCACUGCUCUUGAUUAGUGGCGGAAACCUGCGGUGGAAAAAGGCGAAAAGAAGAAGAAUGAAGACUAUCCGGGACCAGUAUUAACCACCAAUCAUGGCUCCAAAGAAGACACACUCACAGAGGCCCGGCGCUGACCUUGGGCUUCAGGAGCUUUGCCGAAACUCUUUUGGAACAUCCAUCUCUGGAAAAUGGAAAAAUGUCCAUCCAUCAUUUGCCAAAAACUCUCAGACUGCUGGGACGAUUGAGAAGUGACGCAGAAAUAGCAACGUUUCCACU